rnacentral:rRNA from 1 species
AUUGAACGCUGGCGGCAUGCCUUACACAUGCAAGUCGAACGGCCGCACGGGUGCUUGCCCCUGGUGGCGAGUGGCGCACGGGUGAGUAAUACAUCGGAACAUGCCCUGUAGUGGGGGAUAGUCCGGCGAAAGCCGGAUUACUACCGCCUACGAUCUACGGAUGAAGGAGGGGGACCUUCGGGCCUCGCGCUUUAGUGUUGGCUGUUGGCUGAUUAGCUAGUUGGUGGGGUAAAGGCCUACCAAGGCGACGAUCGGUAGCUGGUCUGAGAGGACGACCAGCCACACUGGGACUGAGACACGGCCCAGACUCCUACGGGAGGCAGCAGUGGGGAAUUUUGGACAAUGGGCGAAAGCCUGAUCCAGCAAUGCCGCGUGUGUGAAGAAGGCCUUCGGGUUGUAAAGCACUUUUGUCCGGAAAGAAAUCCUUGGCUCUAAUACAGGCGGGGGAUGACGGUACCGGAAGAAUAAGCACCGGCUAACUACGUG